rnacentral:other from 1 species
AGUGCACAGUGCUGCCUUGUCUGAGGGGACAGGAGGAUCACCCUCGUCGUCGCUUCGGCCAGUGCGUCGGGCUGGGCCCUGACAAGCCACCUGAGGAGAGGCUCGGAGCCGGGCCCGGACCCCGGGGAUUGCCGCCCGCUUCUCUCUAGUCUCACGAGGGGUUUCCCGCCUCGCACCCCCACCUCUGGACUUGCCUUUCCUUCUCUCUCCGCGUGUGGAGGGAGCCAGCGCUUAGGCCGGAGCGAGCCUGGGGGCCGCCCGCCGUGAAGACAUCGCGGGGACCGAUUCACCAUGGAGGGCGCCGGCGGCGCGAACGACAAGAAAAAGUGAUUUGGAUAUUGAAGAUGACAUGAAAGCACAGAUGAAUUGCUUUUAUUUGAAAGCCUUGGAUGGUUUUGUUAUGGUUCUCACAGAUGAUGGUGACAUGAUUUACAUUUCUGAUAAUGUGAACAAAUACAUGGGAUUAACUCAGUUUGAACUAACUGGACACAGUGUGUUUGAUUUUACUCAUCCAUGUGACCAUGAGGAAAUGAGAGAAAUGCUUACACACAGAAAUGG